UUGACGUGCUCCCAGUGCCUGGGAGAGACUCCUUUGAAUUCAUACUGUAGUAACCUAGAUGAGUCGCCUCUGCCAAGGGUCACUGCUGGUUAAGAGGGUUACUGGUGGUUAGGAAUUGCUGUUGGUCACAUGAUUCAUUGCAUCAGUGCUCGAGCAACGUUUUGUGUGCUCCAUCAUCAGAAACAGGCAUGAGAGAAAGAAAACCUUGGAUUCCAUGACUACAUUGACUUUACAUAAAGAGAGCAAUCAAAACAUUGUAUAUAUAUUAUGUUGUGUUAGACACAUAUUCGCAAAAUAUUAACAAAACACAUAAUUCAUACUUUAUCUGCCUCUCCAUUUCCAUGUAACUGUUAGUCUUACUUUACGACUGCCUAUACUUAAUCACGCUCCUCUACUGUAGCGCUUUAUCAGUCACACCGUCACAGUGGCUACGGCGCUGCCAACACUGAUGAGCUAACUUUAAUGAUAAGGGAAGACCUUGAAGGCCAACUGCAGUCGUUUGUAAUUAUUAACACUUGUUGAACCAGUGGGGCCUCCACUUGGCCUUGAAGCCAAAGAUAAACCACGCUGGAUGCCAUGCCUCGCCACCAGUUCGGAAAUCAAAUCUAUUUAUGUGGAGGAUCUCCAGCUCUGCAAACAAGCUUUACCUCAAAUUCAACACAUUCAAAUGAGGUGCAGUGAUUGGACAACCUGUCUUUAGGCUGUAAGAAAAAGGAAGUUUCUUUUGUGGUUGGUGCAGAAAUCUGUCUUUGUAAGAAAAAGGAAGUUUCUUUUGUGGUUGGUGCAGAAAUCUGUCUUUAUUCCAGUAAAGUGCAGUAACGAAGCACGUGGAACACUCCCGUACUAUGAUUAAUUGCAGUCAGUCACACCUUUCUCAGCAUUCUUGCUAGGGUUACCGUAAUAUUUGACACGCAUAUGCUUUAACGUGGAAGAAAGGGUCAUUUCAGUAAAUUAGCCGGUGCUGUGUUCCUGUGAAAAAGUAGGUUUUUGCAUGUGAUGUUAUGCAUAUUAAUAUAUAUAUAUCCCAGACCCUAGAACUAACCCGAAUCCAAAACGUACAGAUCAGGCGUCACCUUUGGUCUGAGCUGUGGUGGAAGGGGGAAACCUACCCUUACAAUACUAAUAACCUUGACCGACUGAAAUCAGAUUAUUAUUUUAUCACGCCUCAGAGUAUGUGAUUGCUGAGACAGCUGUCUGGUGAUAACCACUUCCACAUGUUCAACAGUCACUGUGAUUAGGGGCAUGCCAUGGAACUAUUAUGCAACCAGCAAUAACUAGUGAUAUGGGACAAUCUUACCGAGAGACCAAAAAAGGUGAUGGCGCUCCAGUGAUUUUUCCAUAACGCCUGUGUCUUUCCCACUAGUCAUCAGGGAUAUGCCCUAUGUGCUUCUGUGUUUUCCGGGCUGAAACUCCCUGCAAAAAUGGAUAAAAAGCUUUCACAUUAUGGCAUUGCCAGCUAUACUGCCAAAAGACAUCGGUUAGUGUCUUAUCAAGCUUCUAUCGGUGUCAGCUGGGCUGUUGGUGGUGUUUGCAAAGUUCUUGCAUGCCUUUUAGGUAGUUAGCUUGCUAGUUUUGGAACAGAACUCCUUAUUGCUGCUUUAAAGCAGGUUGGUUGGUGCUUGAUUACUGCCAAUUUCAGCAUAGCGCUGUGAAUGCAGUCCUUCAUGGCCUGGCCUGUAUAAUCACCAGAUCUGAACCCUGCUUCCAUCUUCCCACCAAAGAAACUUCUCACACGCCAUGAAGCGUCGGUUUAAAUUUCCCCUGAAUAUUUUCAAAAACUGAAUGCUAAAAUGCGUGGUCUUCAAAGGUAGAAUUGUGUCAAAUGGAGGAUUCUUUGUUGAAUACCAAAAACUGUUGAAUAACAUAGUUCUAUGAAAUAAUAUCAUAACGGCAUUGUCAAUGUACUGAUUAUGAUUUGACUGAAGUAAUGUCACCAUGGUGAAUACAAAUAUAUGUAUAUUUUUAGCAAAACAUAAAUGAUUCAACAUGUUUGAAACUUAGUGAAUGUUUGCGUAUGCUGUGGAAGAAUUUAUUAAAACUGAAAAAAUGAAAGGAUAUAAAUAUUGCCAAGAGAAGAGAGAAUUUCCCCCUGUUACUGUCAAGAAAGCAUAUGAAUGAAAAUAACAAUAUCAAAAGAAGAACAACAACAACAAAAACAGAGCUUGACUGAAAAGAAGAAAACAGCUCUCCCCACGCAGGCAUGCCCUAUAGCCUCUCAAACACCAUAAAAGUCGAACGUGGACAAAAAGUGAUUAUGUCACUUUAUCUUGAAAAGCUAAAGUGACAUACAGAUAACAUGUUUGUGGACUCUUUCGUUCUUUUGUUUGUCAAGCACUUCCUCUUGAAAACAUCAAUGCUUCAGGGUUCAGUAGAGAUGACACACAGGCACCACAGGCAGUGCAGCAGUGAAUGAAUGUGUUCACAACUGGGUUCCAGUACAGCUCAUUGAUGCAGAGUGUCCUUCAAUAACUGAUAAGUAUGAGAUAUGAUUUGAGCUGAGGAAUAGCACUGUGUACAUCAUGAAAGGUGCCACUGUAGAGGUCUCUGAUGUAGUUCAGUUAGAGCGGAGCCACUGUAGAGGUCUCUGAUGUAGUUCAGUUAGAGCGGAGCCACUGUAGAGGUCUCUGGUGUAGUUCAGUUAGAGCGGAGCCACUGUAGAGGUCUCUGAUGUAGUUCAGUUAGAGCAGAGCCACUGUAGAGGUCUCUGAUGUAGUUCAGUUAGAGCAGAGCCA
ensembl:lncRNA